AAAACAUGUCCUUUAGAAUUUAAUUUAAGGUCUGACCUGCCCACUGAUUUAUUUAAAUGGCCGCAGUAUUUUAACUGUGCAAAGGUAGCAUAAUCAUUAGUCUUUUAAUUGAAGGCUUGUAUGAAUGGUUGGACGAAAUAUUAACUGUUUCAUAAGAAUUUAUAGAAUUUUAUUUUUUAGUUAAAAAGCUAAAAUUUUUUUAAAAGACGAGAAGACCCUAUAGAUCUUUAUAAUUUUUUUGUUAUAGUUAUUUAGAUAAUUUAAAUUAUAAUUUUUGUAAAUUAUUUUGUUGGGGUGACAUUAAAAUUUAAUUAACUUUUAAUUGUUUUUUACAUUAAUUUAUGAAUAAUUGAUCCAUUAUUAGUGAUUAAAAAAUUAAGUUACCUUAGGGAUAACAGCGUAAUUUUUUUAGAGAGUUCAUAUCGAUAAAAAAGAUUGCGACCUCGAUGUUGGAUUAAGAUAUAAUUUUGGGUGCAGCAAUUCAUUGAUUAAGUCUGUUCGACUUUUAAUUUCUUACAUGAUCU
rnacentral:rRNA from 1 species